rnacentral:rRNA from 1 species
AGUCGAGCGAAAGACGAGGAGCUUGCUCCUCUGACGUUAGCGGCGGACGGGUGAGUAACACGUGGAUAACCUACCUAUAAGACUGGGAUAACUUCGGGAAACCGGAGCUAAUACCGGAUAACAUGUUGAACCGCAUGGUUCAACAGUGAAAGACGGUCUUGCUGUCACUUAUAGAUGGAUCCGCGCCGCAUUAGCUAGUUGGUAAGGUAACGGCUUACCAAGGCAACGAUGCGUAGCCGACCUGAGAGGGUGAUCGGCCACACUGGAACUGAGACACGGUCCAGACUCCUACGGGAGGCAGCAGUAGGGAAUCUUCCGCAAUGGGCGAAAGCCUGACGGAGCAACGCCGCGUGAGUGAAGAAGGUCUUCGGAUCGUAAAACUCUGUUAUUAGGGAAGAACAAAUGUGUAAGUAACUAUGCACGUCUUGACGGUACCUAAUCAGAAAGCCACGGCUAACUACGUGCCAGCAGCCGCGGUAAUACGUAGGUGGCAAGCGUUAUCCGGAAUUAUUGGGCGUAAAGCGCGCGUAGGCGGUUUUUUAAGUCUGAUGUGAAAGCCCACGGCUCAACCGUGGAGGGUCAUUGGAAACUGGAAAACUUGAGUGCAGAAGAGGAAAGUGGAAUUCCAUGUGUAGCGGUGAAAUGCGC